AUCUCUUUAGAAUAGUGUUCGCUCCACACUCCAGAUCAGUAGGUGGCGGUAAUGCACCUUUCGUUGGUCUGCCAAACCGCCAAACACCACGAGAAGAUGAAGAAGAAGAAGAAGAAGAAGAAGAAUCCCUGACACCACCUUUCUGUCUAUAAAAAGACUUGCAUGUGUUUGUUUGCUCUGUGUGUACAAGAUGGCUUUGGGCACAAUUGUAGCUCUUGGAGCCGGAGCAGUUGGUACUGUGGUAGCAGCUCCUUUAGUGGUUUCGGCUUUGGGUUUCACCGCCACUGGGAUCGCUGCAGGAUCUGUUGCUUCAUCAAUGAUGUCAGCAGCAGCUGUUGCUAACGGUGGAGGCGUCGUCGCCGGAGGGGCCGUUGCAGUCCUGCAGUCCAUCGGUGCUGCUGGACUUUCAGUCGGAGGACAGGCGGCCCUGGCGGCUUCAGGAGCUGCUGUGGGUGGAGCGACUCGUUGGGUUGUCUCUUCAGUUUCAUCCUUCUUUUAAUUUGUCUGUGCAUUGAUUUAUUCUGAUCUUGAAGACUUGUUUGCACAUACAUGAAUGGAAAGUGUGUGUGUGUGUGUGUGUGUGUGUGUGUGUGUGUGUGUAUAUGUAUGUAUGUGUGUAUGUAUAUAUAUAUAUAUAUAUAUAUAUAUAUAUAUAAAUAUAAAUAAAAUAUACACUGCGUUUGUGUUAGCGCAUUGUGUCCGCCUCCUACUUUAAAUAUAUGUAUAAAAUAAAUAAAAUGCUUUUUAACUCUA